AGGGCGAGCUUCCCAACAAAUGAACCAGCUGAGGCAGGGACUGCAGGACACUAUGUCAUGGCCACUGUUGGAGGCCAGGCCAGAUGUGGUUCCAGUGGUUUUCCCACGUCAGUCUAUGGCUAAAUGCAGUGCUCAGAUGGUUCUAGACAACAUCAUCUGGCCUGGAGAAGAGAAAAAGGAGGAUGACAAUGGAUGCUCUGUUGCAAUCCAAUGCAAAAUGGCUGGCUAACUACGUCACUUUGUGGAGACAGUGACUGAAGACAAACUCAAGCAGCUGGUUAAAUUCUGGGUUGGCUGGGAACUGCCCAUGCAGGACAUGAAAGUGGAGGUGGUGCAGGCAGACCAUCCAACAUCUUCCACCUGCUUCCAUAUCCUGCGCUUGCCUGUUUUGUACACCAAUUACCAAGAGUUCCAUGAUCAUCUGGAAGGUUGCAUUGCAACAGAUGAAACUGGGUUUGGACUGAUAUAAAGUCUAAAAACAUGAUUGCAAGUUCUGCUGUGUGCUAUCGUUAGACCACACCACAAAUGUU